rnacentral:rRNA from 1 species
GAUGAACGCUGGCGGCGUGCCUAAUACAUGCAAGUCGAGCGAACGGACGAGAAGCUUGCUUCUCUGAUGUUAGCGGCGGACGGGUGAGUAACACGUGGAUAACCUACCUAUAAGACUGGGAUAACUUCGGGAAACCGGAGCUAAUACCGGAUAAUAUUUUGAACCGCAUGGUUCAAAAGUGAAAGACGGUCUUGCUGUCACUUAUAGAUGGAUCCGCGCUGCAUUAGCUAGUUGGUAAGGUAACGGCUUACCAAGGCAACGAUGCAUAGCCGACCUGAGAGGGUGAUCGGCCACACUAGAACUGAGACACGGUCCAGACUCCUACGGGAGGCAGCAGUAGGAAAUCUUCCGCAAUGGGCGAAAGCCUGACGGAGCAACGCCGCGUGAGUGAUGAAGGUCUUCGGAUCGUAAAACUCUGUUAUUAGGGAAGAACAUAUGUGUAAGUAACUGUGCACAUCUUGACGGUACCUAAUCAGAAAGCCACGGCUAACUACGUG